rnacentral:rRNA from 1 species
AUUGAACGCUGGCGGCAUGCUUUACACAUGCAAGUCGAACGGUAACAGGGUGCUUGCACCGCUGACGAGUGGCGAACGGGUGAGUAAUGCGUCGGAACGUGCCGAGUAGUGGGGGAUAACGCAGCGAAAGUUGUGCUAAUACCGCAUACGUACUGAGGUAGAAAGUGGGGGACCUUCGGGCCUCACGCUAUUCGAGCGGCCGACGUCUGAUUAGCUAGUAGGUGAGGUAAAGGCUCACCUAGGCGACGAUCAGUAGCGGGUCUGAGAGGAUGAUCCGCCAACCUGGGACUGAGACACGGCCCAGACUCCUACGGGAGGCAGCAGUGGGGAAUUUUGGACAAUGGGCGAAAGCCUGAUCCAGCCAUGCCGCGUGUCUGAAGAAGGCCUUCGGGUUGUAAAGCUCUUUCGGCCGGGAAGAAAUCGCACAGUCUAAUACGCUGUGUGGAUGACGGUACCGGAAUAAGAAGCACCGGCUAACUACGUGCCAGCCGCCGCCGUAA